rnacentral:misc_RNA from 1 species
CUGAGUACUACACUCUCUACCCUUUGUGAACUAUUAUACCUGUUGCUUCGGCGGCGCCCGCGAGGGUGCCCGCCGGUCUCAUCAGAAUCUCUGCUUUCGAACCCGACGAUACUUCUGAGUGUUCUUAGCGAACUGUCA